AACCAUAGAAACCUGCGGAGUACCUGCGGAAGGAUCAUUACCGAGUUCACAACUCCCAAACCCCUGUGAACAUACCACUUGUUGCCUCGGCGGAUCAGCCCGCUCCCGGUAAAACGGGACGGCCCGCCAGAGGACCCCUAAACUCUGUUUCUAUAUGUAACUUCUGAGUAAAACCAUAAAUAAAUCAAAACUUUCAACAACGGAUCU
rnacentral:misc_RNA from 1 species